AUGGGAUGCUUGGCGUAUAAAAUGUGCUGCAAAUUGGGCAAAAGGAGUACGACUCUGAAUUUUGAUCAUUUGAUCAGUUCAUCCAUGGCGAUCCCGUUGCUUCUUGCCCUGUUACUACUGGCAGUGGCACUAGCAGCGGUGCAAGCGGCGCCGGGCUUGCACCCCGUGGUCCUGGUGCCGGGCUACGGCACCAACGAGCUGGACGCGCGGCUCACCGAGCUCUACCAGCCGUCGUCGCCGGUCUGCGGGGCGCGCAAGGGGGAGGGGUGGUUCCGCCUCUACCUCAACUACUCCGCCCUCCAGGACCCCGCCAACGUGCCGUGCUUCGCGGAGCAGAUGAGCUCCGUGUACGACCCCGCCGCCGACGACUACUCCAACGUCGCCGGCGUGGAGACGCGCGUCCCCUUCUUCGGCUCCACCCAAGCCUUCCGCUACCCCGAUCCUGAUCGCAAGAAUUUCUCCUACAUGAGCACGUUCGUCGAGCGCUUGGAGAAGACGGGGUACCGCGACGGCGAGACCAUGUUCGGCGCGCCCUACGACUUCCGGUACGCCGUCGGGCCGGUGGGGCGCCCGUCCAGGGUCGGCGACGCCUUCUUCCGGGCGCUCAAGAGCCUAGUCGAGAGGGCGAGCGGGCUCAACGGUGGCAGGCCGGUGGUGAUCGCCACCCACAGUUUCGGCGGCCUGCUGGCGCACCAGUUCCUCAUCCGCCAGCCGCUGGCCUGGCGCCGGCGGUUCGUAGGGCGCUUCGUGCCCAUCGCCGCCCCGUGGGGCGGCCUCGUCCGGGGAAUGCAGACUCUGGUCUCCGGGAACAACCUGGGCCUGCCAUUCGUGGACCCGCGCGCGCUGCUGCGGCAGGGCAGGAGCCAGCAGAGCAGCCUGUGGAGACUGCCCAGCCCGGCCGCCUUCGGCGCCGCGACGCCAUUGGUGACCACCAAGAGCAAGAACUACUCGGCCGGCGACGUGGCGGACUACCUCGUCUCCAUCGGGUUGGGCGAAGCCGUCGGGCCGUACGAGUCCCGCGUGCUGCCGCUGUUCGGCGGGGAGCUGCCGCAUCCCGGGGUGCCGGUGACCACCGUCGUCGGGGUCGGGGUGGGGACGCCGGAAAGGAUAGUGUUCCCCGGGGAUGAUUUCGACGCGACGCCGUCCGUGGUCGCCGGGGACGGCGACGGGGUGGUGAACCUGGUGAGCGCCGUGGCGGUGGAGACGUCGUGGAGCCACCGUGGUGGGGAUUUUAGGAUGGUCAAGGUGUCCAACAUGUCCCAUAAUGCCCUUCUGGUGGAUGAUCGAGCGCUCGAGAUCAUCAUCCAAGAGAUUCAACGGGCUGAUUAG
rnacentral:rRNA from 1 species